GGAGAGGUGGCAGAGUGGUUUAAUGCGGCUGUCUUGAAAACAGCUGGGCGAUGAGCCCCGGGGGUUCGAAUCCCUCCCUCUCCG
rnacentral:tRNA from 1 species